rnacentral:rRNA from 1 species
AGUGAACGCUGGCGGUAGGCCUAACACAUGCAAGUCGAACGGCAGCACAGGAGAGCUUGCUCUCUGGGUGGCGAGUGGCGGACGGGUGAGGAAUACAUCGGAAUCUACUCUGUCGUGGAGGAUAACGUAGGGAAACUUACGCUAAUACCGCAUACGACCUACGGGUGAAAGCAGGGGACCUUCGGGCCUUGCGCGAUUGAAUGAGCCGAUGUCGGAUUAGCUAGUCGGCGGGGUAAAGGCCCACCAAGGCGACGAUCCGUAGCUGGUCUGAGAGGAUGAUCAGCCGCACUGGAACUGAGACACGGUCCAGACUCCUACGGGAGGCAGCAGUGGGGAAUAUUGGACAAUGGGCGCAAGCCUGAUCCAGCCAUACCGCGUGGGUGAAGAAGGCCUUCGGGUUGUAAAGCCCUUUUGUUGGGAAAGAAAUCCAGCUGGCUAAUACCCGGUUGGGAUGACGGUACCCAAAGAAUAAGCACCGGCUAACUUCGUGCCAGCCGCCGCCGUAA